GGAGGAGCCAAGAUGGCCGAAUAGGAACAGCUCCGGUAUACAGCUCCCAGCGUGAGAGACGCAGAAGACGGGUGAUUUCUGCAUUUCCAUCUGAGGUACGGGGUUCAUCUCACUACGCAGUGCCAGACAGUGGGCGCAGAAAUGGCCCAUGCGAUCAAGAUUGUACAUCGGUGCUACUGGUCAGUUUCUGAAGCAUUCUGUUUCUGGAGAAAAAACAAAUCAUGACAACACUCCAACAGACUCACAGCCUUAGGCUCUGGUGGGGGCUGGUAGAAGUGGUGGCUAUCGUUUUUAAAUACUAUGACAUAAUUCUAUAUUUAUUAUAUGAGACAUAACAAAAUUUCUGAAAGUUUACAUGUGAACCCAUAGUUGGAUGUUCAGGUUUAUCUGUCUAAAUGUGGAAUGAAAUAAUCAGUGUUAUAUAAAACACACAGCUUAUCUGUUCAGUGUGAGAGUCGCUACUAUAUAGUGCAAGAGAAAUUAUUAGAAAAAAGUCACAUGAAAGCAAACAAUUGUGUAUAUAGCUAAAGAAUGCAAUAUAGAUAUUGCUAUAGUGUAUCUGUUACAAACAGAAAAGUUCAUAUCUAUUGGUGCAGUCUUCCUAGUUUAAAAAGAUAAAAAUCUGUGUUUAUAAUAUACAAGUAUUCCUUUUUUGUGAAAAUCAUACUGUUCUUAAGUUGAUCUAAGACACCAUUUCAAUUGAAGAAAA
rnacentral:sRNA from 1 species